rnacentral:rRNA from 1 species
CGCGUAGGCGGCUUUGUAAGUCAGAUGUGAAAGCCCGGGGCUUAACCCCGGAAGUGCAUUUGAAACUACAAAACUUGAGUAUGGGAGAGGAGAGCGGAAUUCCUGGUGUAGAGGUGAAAUUCGUAGAUAUCAGGAGGAACACCGGUGGCGAAGGCGGCUCUCUGGACCAAUACUGACGCUGAGGCGCGAAGGCGUGGGGAUCAAACAG